rnacentral:rRNA from 1 species
AGUGAACGCUGGCGGUAGGCCUAACACAUGCAAGUCGAACGGCAGCACAGGAGAGCUUGCUCUCUGGGUGGCGAGUGGCGGACGGGUGAGGAAUACAUCGGAAUCUACUCUGUCGUGGGGGAUAACGUAGGGAAACUUACGCUAAUACCGCAUACGACCUACGGGUGAAAGCAGGGGACCUUCGGGCCUUGCGCGAUUGAAUGAGCCGAUGUCGGAUUAGCUAGUUGGCGGGGUAAAGGCCCACCAAGGCGACGAUCCGUAGCUGGUCUGGGAGGAUGAUCAGCCACACUGGAACUGAGACACGGUCCAGACUCCUACGGGAGGCAGCAGUGGGGAAUAUUGGACAAUGGGCGCAAGCCUGAUCCAGCCAUACCGCGUGGGUGAAGAAGGCCUUCGGGUUGUAAAGCCCUAUUGUUGGGAAAGAAAUCCAGCUGGCUAAUACCCGGUUGGGAUGACGGUACCCAAAGAAUAAGCAUCGGCUAACUUCGUGCCAGCCGCCGCGGUAA